UCGAACGCUUCUUUUCUACCGAGUGCUUGCACUCAUUUGAAAAGAGGAGUGGCGGACGGGUGAGUAACACGUGGGUAACCUACCCAUCAGAGGGGGAUAACACUUGGAAACAGGUGCUAAUACCGCAUAACAGUCGACACCGCAUGGUGUUGAUUUGAAAGACGCUUUCGGGUGUCACUGAUGGAUGGACCCGCGGUGCAUUAGCUAGUUGGUGAGGUAACGGCUCACCAAGGCCAUGAUGCAUAGCCGACCUGAGAGGGUGAUCGGCCACACUGGGACUGAGACACGGCCCAGACUCCUACGGGAGGCAGCAGUAGGGAAUCUUCGGCAAUGGACGAAAGUCUGACCGAGCAACGCCGCGUGAGUGAAGAAGGUUUUCGGAUCGUAAAACUCUGUUGUUAGAGAAGAAUAGUAGGAGAGUAACUGCUCUUACCUUGACGGUAUCUAACCAGAAAGCCACGGCUAACUACGUGCCAGCAGCCGCGGUAAUACGUAGGUGGCAAGCGUUGUCCGGAUUUAUUGGGCGUAAAGCGAGCGCAGGCGGUUUCUUAAGUCUGAUGUGAAAGCCCCCGGCUCAACCGGGGAGGGUCAUUGGAAACUGGGAGACUUGAGUGCAGAAGAGGAGAGUGGAAUUCCAUGUGUAGCGGUGAAAUGCGUAGAUAUAUGGAGGAACACCAGUGGGAAGGCGACUCUCUGGUCUGUAACUGACGCUGAGGCUCGAAAGCGUGGGGAGCAAACAGGAUUAGAUAC
rnacentral:rRNA from 1 species